AUGAGUUUGCCGGGGAAGAAGGCCGCGGCCGGGGCUGGGGGAAUCCGGCGGUGGCUCUCCACCGCCGUGCUGUCAGCGCUGGCGCUGGUGCUGAUCCUGGUGGUGAUUUCGCUGUCGGUGGGCUCGCCCCUGCCCGGGGCGUCGCUCCCUGAAUACCCAGCUGUCAGAGCUAGUCACCCAAAGGGGAACGCUACCGCCGAUGAUGGGAGCAAGAAUGAUAUUGCCACUGCUGUUCCAUUACCAGGGAAAGAGUUGCAGGGUGGCCAGGAGCCCUUGGUUGAGCACAGCGCCCAAAAUGCUACUUUCAACUCAAGCGAGGGGUCUCUGAAUACAAGAGAGGUUCAUGACACAGUACCGGAUCCAGUUUCUGUUGAUAGCAAAAUACAGGAUCCAGUAGUAGCUAUGGAUGAUACCACGCCAAAACUCAAUGAUUCUCAAAGGGCUGAUCAAGGUACCUGUGAUCUUUAUCAUGGGGAGUGGGUUUUCGAUUCAUCUGGGGCGUCGUACACAAACAACUCUUGCCCUGUCAUCACACGGAUGCAGAAUUGCCAGGGAAAUGGGCGACCGGACAAGGACUAUGAGAGUUGGAGAUGGAAACCUCAACAGUGCACCCUCCCACGCUUUGAUGGAAUUAAGUUCUUGGAGUUAAUGAGAGGCAAGACUCUUGCCUUUGUUGGGGACUCGGUUGCUCGAAAUCACAUGGAAUCUCUCCUUUGCAUUCUGUGGCAGGUAGAAACCCCAGUAGACCGUGGCAGCCGCAGGAUGAACAGGUGGAUCUUCAGGUCAACCAAAACGACUAUUGUCCGCAUCUGGUCUGCUUGGUUAGUGCACAACUCAAUUGAAGCUGUGGGGUUUGCUCCUAAGGGUCUUGAUAAGGUUUUCCUGGAUGUAGCAGAUGAGAAGUUCAUGCAAUUUAUCGCUUCUUUUGAUGUGCUUGUCCUGUCAUCUGGACACUGGUUCGCCAAACGGUCAGCCUAUAUCCAGAAUGGCAAUGCUGUUGGAGGGCAGCUCUGGUGGCCUCAACAAGCUGGAAAGAUGCAGAUAAACAACGUUGACGCAUUUGGUGUGUCAGUUGAGACUUGCCUGACUGCUGUGGCGACCCACCCAAAUUUCACAGGGAUAGCUGUUCUGCGCACAUACUCUCCAGAUCAUUAUGAAGGCGGGGCAUGGAACACUGGUGGGUCAUGCACCGGGAAGGUUAAGCCCUUGGAUGUGGUGGUGAGGAACGGAUACACGGAUGCAAUGUAUGGGAAACAAGUUGCAGGCUUCAGAAAGGCAGUGCAGAAUUCUGGGAAACAUGGCUCCAAGUUGAAAUUGAUGGACAUCACUGAGCCCUUUGCGUUGAGAGCUGACGGGCAUCCUGGUCCAUACAGAAGUCCUGACCCAAACAAGAAGACUCAAAGAGGACCAGAUGGGAAGCCUCCACCCCAGGAUUGUCUGCAUUGGUGCAUGCCAGGACCUAUAGAUACAUGGAACGAGAUGCUGUUUGAGACCAUACGAAGCCAACUAGAGGGAGACAGCAGCAGCUGA
rnacentral:rRNA from 1 species